AGGAUUGUUAAGUAAAAUUCACUAUGUAUUGUAACCUGAUCCUUAGUGUUGUGCUGCUUUGUUGGGGUGAGCAGGUCUUUGCACAAGCAGGAACUGACUUCUACCCUUUUGGCGGUGCCAAUGGAGACACAUUAAUCCCAAAUCAGAUGAUGGUGGAUCAUGUUUGAUUGAGAUU